UACGUAGGUGGCAAGCGUUGUCCGGAUUUACUGGGCGUAAAGAGCGCGCAGGCGGUCGUUCAAGUCGCGUGUGAAAGCCCCCGGCUCAACUGGGGAGGGUCACGCGAUACUGAUCGACUCGAAGGCAGGAGAGGGUAGUGGAAUUCCCGGUGUAGUGGUGAAAUGCGUAGAGAUCCGGAGGAACACCAGUGGCGAAGGCGGCUGGCUGGACCUGACCGUGACGCUGAGGAGCGAAAGCGUGGGGAGCAAACAGGG
rnacentral:rRNA from 1 species